rnacentral:rRNA from 1 species
AAUAGAUACCCGGGUAGUCCAUGCCGUAAACGAUGUCUACUAGCCGUUGGGGCCUUUGAGGCUUUAGUGGCGCAGCUAACGCGAUAAGUAGACCGCCUGGGGAGUACGGUCGCAAGACUAAAAACUCAAAUGAAUUGACGGGGGGCCCGCACAAGCGGUGGAGCAUGUGGUUUAAUUCGAUGCAACGCGAAGAACCUUACCUGGUCUUGACAUAGUAAGAACUUUCCAGAGAUGGAUUGGUUGCCUUCGGGAACUUACAUACAGGUGCUGCAUGGCUGUCGUCAGCUCGUGUCGUGAGAUGUUGGGUUAAGUCCCGCAACGAGCGCAACCCUUUUCCUUAUUUGCCAGCGGGUUUAAGCCGGGGAACUUUAAGGAUACUGCCAGUGACAAACUGGAGGAAGGCGGGGACGACGUCAAGUCAUCAUGGCCCUUACGACCAGGGCUACACACGUGCUACAAUGGUCGGUACAAAGGGUUGCUACCUAGCGAUAGGAUGCUAAUCUCAAAAAGCCGAUCGUAGUCCGGAUUGGAGUCUGCAACUCGACUCC